rnacentral:rRNA from 1 species
CGGGGCGUUUUCCGGUAUUAUUGGGCGUAAGCGCGUGCAGGUGGCUUUGUAAGUUGGACGUUAAAUCUCCCAGCCUAAUUGGGAGUGGUCGUUCAAUACUGCGAGGCUUGAGGGCAGAAGAGGGGGGUGGAAUUGCUGGUGUAGUGGUGAAAUGCGUAGAUAUCAGCAGGAACACCUGUGGCGAAAGCGGCCCCCUGGUUUGCUCCUGACACUCAGACGCGAAAGCUAGGGGAGUGAACGGGAUUAGAAACCCCGGUAAUCCUAGCCGUAAACGAUGGAUGCUAGGUGUGGGUGGUAUUGACCCCAUCCGUGCCGAAGCCAACGCGUUAAGCAUCCCGCCUGGGGACUACGGCCGCAAGGUUAAAACUCAAAGGAAUUGACGGGGACCCGCACAAGCAGCGGAGCGUGUGGUUUAAUUCGAUGCUACACGAAGAACCUUACCCAGGUUUGACAUGCAGGUAGUAGUGAAGCGAAAGCGGAACGAUCCUUCGGGAAGCCUGCACAGGUGCUGCAUGGCUGUCGUCAGCUCGUGCCGUGAGGUGUUUGGUUAAGUCCACUAACGAGCGCAACCCCUGUCGUCAGUUACAUGUGUCUGGCGAGACUGCCGGUGUCAAACCGGAGGAAGGUGGGGACGACGUCAAGUCCUCAUGGCCUUUAUGCCCAGGGCUGCACACGUGCUACAAUGGCGUGUCACAAAGCGAAGCGAGACCGCAAGGUGGAGCAAAUCGCACAAAACACGCCCCAGUUCAGAUUGAGGUCUGCAACCCGACCUCGUGAAGUCGGAAUCGCUAGUAAUCGCGGAUCAGCUACGCCGCGGUGAAUAUGUUCCUGAGCCUUGUACACACCGCCCGUCAAGUCAUGGGAGCCGGGAAUACCCGAAGUCGCCCCGAUUCAGGGUGCCUACGGUAGGCUCGGUGACUGGGACUAAGUCGUAACAAGGUAACC